UACGGAGGGUGCAAACGUUGUCCGGAAUCACUGGGCGUAAAGCGCAUGUAGGUGGUUUAGUAAGUGGAAGAUUAAAGACCGAUGCUUAACAUCGGACCGGUUUUCCAUACUGCUAGACUGGAGUAUGGCAGGGGUAAGCGGAACUUUAGGUGUAGGAGUGAAAUCCGUAGAGAUCGGGAGGAACACCAGAGGCGAAGGCGGCGACCUGGACAGGUACUGACACUCAACUACGAAAGCGUGGGGAGCAAACAGG
rnacentral:rRNA from 1 species